rnacentral:rRNA from 1 species
UACGAAGGGGGCUAGCGUUGCUCGGAAUCACUGGGCGUAAAGCGCACGUAGGCGGCUUCUUAAGUCAGGGGUGAAAUCCUGGAGCUCAACUCCAGAACUGCCUUUGAUACUGAGUAGCUUGAGUCCGGGAGAGGUGAGUGGAACUGCGAGUGUAGAGGUGAAAUUCGUAGAUAUUCGCAAGAACACCAGUGGCGAAGGCGGCUCACUGGCCCGAUACUGACGCUGAGGUGCGAAAGCGUGGGGAGCAAACAGG